rnacentral:rRNA from 1 species
GACAGAGGUGGCAAGCGUUGUUCGGAUUUACUGGGCGUACAGGGAGCGUAGGCGGUUGGGUAAGCCCUCCGUGAAAUCUCCGGGCCUAACCCGGAAAGUGCGGAGGGGACUGCUUAGCUAGAGGAUGGGAGAGGAGCGCGGAAUUCCCGGUGUAGCGGUGAAAUGCGUAGAGAUCGGGAGGAAGGCCGGUGGCGAAGGCGGCGCUCUGGAACAUUUCUGACGCUGAGGCUCGAAAGCGUGGGGAGCAAAC